AGGAUUUUUGCAUCAAUGUUCAUCAAGGAUAUUGGUCUAAAAUUGUCUUUUUUGGUUGUGUUUCGGCCCAGCUUUGGUAUCAGGAUGAUGCUGGCCUCAUAAAAUGAGUUAGGGAGGAUUCCUUUUUUUCUAUUGAUUGGAAUAGUUUCAGAAGGAAUGGUACCAGUUCCUCCUUGUACCUCUGGUAGAAUUCGGCUGUGAAUCCAUCUGGUCCUGGACUCUUUUUGGUUGGUAAGCUAUUGAUUAUUGCCACAAUUUCAGAUCCUGUUAUUGUUCUAUUCAGAGAUUCAACCUCUUCCUGGUUUAGUCUUGGGAGGGCGUAUGUGUCGAGGAAUUUAUCCAUUUCUUCUUGAUUUUCUAGUUUAUUUGCGUAGAGGUGUUUGUAGUGUUCUCUGAUGGUAGUUUGUAUUUCUGUGGGAUCGGUGUUGAUAUCCCCUUUAUCAUUUUUUAUUGCGUCUAUUUGAUUCUUCUCUCUUUUUUUCUUUAUUAGUCUUGCUAGCGGUCUAUCAUUGACAUUUUUAUAAUAAUCUUUAUCCCCCAGUGCAUCAGAGAGUUCUGUAAAAAUUAAUGAAUUGAUUUUGGAAAUUUAUUUCAUUCAAUAAAAGAUACACUUCAUUGAAAAUUAAAUGCAUUCAAAACAAAUUCAUUAAAAGACACAAAUUUUUUAUUAUCCACAAUUGUUCGCCCAUAACUGUAAAAUAUAAGUUUAGAGGUGUUAGAGAAGUAGCAUAUAUGAAAUACAAUUGUUAUAAAGGUAUUAUAUAUACACAAAUACAUAUACUUAAAAAAGAAUUUGACAUGGAUUUAUAAUACAUUUCUAAUAAACUUAAUUCUAAUUAAUAAAAUGAUAAUCAACUAUAAUUAUAAUUAAUAAUUAAUAUAUAAUAAAAUAGAUUAAAUACAUCUGAUUAUAUAAAAAAAUUAAUUCUAAUAAACUUUACUCUUAUAAAGAUGAUGAUGAUGAUUACUGCUUUCAUUAUCAUUAGCACAGAACCUCCUGACACUAUAUGUACAACACAAGGAAAGGCACCUUUCAAAUUGACUGGUCAAUUUGAAAAUUUGUAAAAGUUAAAAUUCUUCAAGUCAAUAUUUUUUGUAAAAAAUUACUUUUAUUCAGCAAAAAAGCAGUGAGUCCACAAACUAAAAUCUGUGGCAGUAGCCACAUGAGGAAUACUGAGUAGCAUUUUUAUGAAUUAUGUUACUGCAUAUACUUCUGUUCUAAAAGUAAACUUUGUUUCUAAACAAAAAGCCUGUUCAUUUACUGAAAUUUCUCUUUUAACACCAAGUGACGGGGCAGGGAAGAUAAAGCAUCUUUGGAAAAACAAAACAAAACAAAUAAGAACAACAACAACAACAAACCAGAAGUUUCCCUGGGGAAAAUUAGGCUGGUCAAGAUGAGCAAGACUGAUAACGGGGCUAGCAUUCACUGAUGGGAAGAAUGACAAGAGAUGAAACUGAAGAAACCUCUAGUGGCCAUUGUUCAGGGCCCUGUAGGCCAGUUAAGCAUUUUUACCUUUGUUCUAAAAGCACUGAGAGGUAAUUGAAACAUUCUAAGCAGGAGAUUGAGGUCAGGAGAUCGAGACCAUCCUGGCUAACACAGUGAAAACCUGUCUCUACUAAAAAUACAAAAAAUUAGCCAGGCAUGGUGGCGGGUGCCUGUAAUCCCAGCUACUCUGGAGGCUGAGGCAGGAGAAUGGUGUGAACCCGGGAGGUGGAGCUUGCAGUGAGCCAAGAUCGCGCCACUGCACUCCAGUCUGGGCGACAGAGCGAGACUCCGUCUCAAA
rnacentral:lncRNA from 1 species